rnacentral:rRNA from 1 species
CAGUAGCCGCGGUAAUACGAAGGGUGCAAGCGUUAAUCGGAAUUACUGGGCGUAAAGCGUGCGUAGGCGGUUUGUUAAGUCUGCUGUGAAAUCCCCGGGCUCAACCUGGGAAUGGCAGUGGAUACUGGCAAGCUAGAGUGUGUCAGAGGAUGGUGGAAUUCCCGGUGUAGCGGUGAAAUGCGUAGAGAUCGGGAGGAACAUCAGUGGCGAAGGCGGCCAUCUGGGACAACACUGACGCUGAGGCACGAAAGUGUGGGGAGCAAACAGGAUUAGAUACCCCGGUAGUCCCUGUCUCUUAUAC